CUCAUUCCUAAAUUCAUCUCACUUUCAAUUUGUGACCAUGACUGAGCUGGAAAUGCAGACUAUAAAAAAUGGCUUCUCAGAUGUUGAGGCUGUGGGUUAUGAAUUUGCCAGAGAUCUAAUACUAACUCUUCUCACUCCAUGUGGAACCAUGGUUGUCCAGACACACUGUCAGCCCAGCAGUCAGUUCUCAGUCUUGCAGACGGACAUGUGUCUUCACCCUUAGCUUUCUGAUCACGUCUGCAUCUCCCAUUCCUUCUCUUUCUCUGAAUCAAAGGUGGCACACAAACUUAGUGCAAAAAAGAUCCCACAAACUAAGACCUUGUAGAAGAAAAGGAAGCAGCCAAGAAAUUCAAGGUAUUUGUAACAUUGCCAAGUUUCAAUCAUUUGGGAUAAAAUUUUCCAUCUUAGGUGUCUCCAUUUGACAAGUUUUAAAUUUUUUGUUUGUUUGUUUUGGGUAUAUUACAGUAAAAAUAACUUGGCUGCUUUCAAGGACAAGGCUAUGGAAAAAGAAGUUUUGUCCAUGUGAACUGACUCCAGUGACCUUAAACUGAGUGUUUCACAUUUCAGAUUAAAACCUAGGACAGAGGGAGGAGUGAGCACACUUCAUAUCAAGGAUGUGACUUUUGGCAUCCCUCUGAAAUCUGACCCUAGUUGAUUAAAUUUCAUACUAUUGGGGGGUGGAGAGGGGUGUGUGGAGAAGGAAGUUCACACAUGUUCAGUAGAUCAAGAUUUUAACAGUUUAAUUCCGCAAAGUUGUCACCCCUAAGAGGCUGAACAUGAUGUUAUCAUGACUUGAGCUUCAAGUGCAAAGUCUGAGCACCCAAACUAAGGUCAGCAAACACUUUGUUGGGUUUCCCAAUGAUACCCCUUGAUUUAGGGAGUUAAAAGUAGAGGAGAAAAGAACUUGGUCAGAGAGAAGGGAGUAAACUGUGAUGAGAGUAAGUCACAGGAUACUACUGAGUGGGAUGGAAAGAGAUAAGAUAGGCUACGAAAACAGUACACAGGGCAAAGAUAAAGAUUGUCGAUAUAAUCGUAACUGAUGAAGUAAAGACAGGUUUGCAUAAGGUUGAGAGAUUUGAUAGAAGACCAACUGCCAUCUCAAAUUUUAACAUUUCAUAGCCUCAACUCAUAGUAUUAAUUUUUAAAAUAUAUCUUCAUUGCAAUUGCUUGUAGAGAUGAGACAAUUAUAUUACAUAUAACUCUUCACACUCCUUCAGACUAAACCUCAACUUAUUUUUCUGCUGAAGUAAGAAAAUUUGAAGAGAAAAUAUGAAUUGCUUCAAGUUAACUUCUAAGAUAAACAUCUCUUUCUCUCAGAAAUUACAAGAAAUUUUACUUUACAAACAAAUGUCCAAACACUCAAAAUUACUGUAAAUUACUUUAUUUCAAUAACUGAAAAUGGGCAAGUACUCUAAAUGAUAUAAAUUACUUUUAAACCUGAGCAUUUCAGGUUUAAAGGACAUAAACACUUCAAUGCAAUGCCUUGCAAAUCAUUUUAGAACAAGAAGUGGAGGGCAGCAUAAUUCAAAUAGAUUCAAGUUCAGACACUGACCUCACCAAGAAAUACCCCAUACUUAAGUAAAAAGAAAGUGCUUGGUUCUGGUUUAAAAUCUCCAUUGCUGUUUGGUAUUCAUGACAGAGAAGUCUGUGCCAAAACUGAUUCAAGUGUUCAAACCAGCACCAAUGUGAGGAUAAAGGUACCUUUCAGUCAGCCCAGUGUUAAUCAUCCUUUUUGUUCUCAGAGACAGCUUUAAAUCCUGUAUUUCUAAUAAUUUUUCUGAUUUUGACCUCAGCAAGAUCAAUUUUUGGACUCUGAGUGAGAUCUGACAAGCAAUUUGGCUAUAGCUCCCCCCACACAGCUUCAAAAACUGCUAUUGGACAUGUUCAGUGUUUGUCUCAUUAAAUGAUGGGCAGUAUCAUUUCAAUCUUUCACAAGACUGAGACCAAGAAAGCACAAUACCACUGAGUAUUUUGAUGCUAUUAAAUGUUGUUAAUAAAGUAAUUGCUAGAGUUCCAGAACCAUGCAGAUGCCAUCCUUCUAUUAUUAACAUCCCUAACCUCCUAAAUAUCACAUGGAGAUCUAGGACAUGUCCUUGAAGCGCAUCAUACCAUGAUGCAAAGUGAAAAGUCAAGUGAUAUUGGACCAUGUCUUGCACUUCAAGUCCUCCCUAAUGUAUAGCAAUUAUAUGGUGUCUUAUACCUUUAAAAUAUCGCUCAUUAUUGCCUAAGCCCUGUUGGUAGAUGCUUCUAGGUUUUCUUUUCUACUAAGUCACCCUGAUCCCUGUCUUUGCAGAAAUAAAGAAGGCUGCUACUAGAAUCCAUAUUUCUUCCCCACUGUUUAUGUCUUGUAUCGUUAAAAACAGCAGUGAAAAAAUCUGUGUCACAUAACUUUCUUCCCCACCAUGUCCUCUCUCAAACUCUCUCCUAUUACUACAUUAAUUGUCCUAGCAGAUGAACUGCUGCUGUGUAGAGGGCUGAAACAUUGGAGAAAAAGGAUCAGGCAUACUGAAAAAAGAUAUUUUCUG